AACGUAGGGGGCAAGCGUUGUCCGGAAUUACUGGGCGUAAAGGGUGCGUAGGCGGCCUGUUAAGUCCUGUGUGAAAGGCCACGGCUUAACCGUGGAGGGCCAUGGGAAACUGGCAGGCUUGAGUACCGGAGAGGGUCGCGGAAUUCCCGGUGUAGCGGUGAAAUGCGUAGAGAUCGGGAGGAACACCAGUGGCGAAGGCGGCGACCUGGACGGAGACUGACGCUGAGGCACGAAAGCUGGGGGAGCGAACAGG
rnacentral:misc_RNA from 1 species